GUGUUGUAUGAAAGGAGAGAAGGUUAGAAUUCCCCUUGACAAGAAUGGAAGAGGCCCUCAGGCCUGCACAACACACAUAUGGUUAAGAUUUUACCACCUACUUUGUGGCAUUUAACUGGGGUUUUUU
rnacentral:ncRNA from 1 species